rnacentral:rRNA from 1 species
GUGGGGAAUAUUGCACAAUGGGCGCAAGCCUGAUGCAGCCAUGCCGCGUGUAUGAAGAAGGCCUUCGGGUUGUAAAGUACUUUCAGCGGGGAGGAAGGCGUUGAGGUUAAUAACCUCAGCGAUUGACGUUACCCGCAGAAGAAGCACCGGCUAACUCCGUGCCAGCAGCCGCGGUAAUACGGAGGGUGCAAGCGUUAAUCGGAAUUACUGGGCGUAAAGCGCACGCAGGCGGUCUGUCAAGUCGGAUGUGAAAUCCCCGGGCUCAACCUGGGAACUGCAUUCGAAACUGGCAGGCUAGAGUCUUGUAGAGGGGGGUAGAAUUCCAGGUGUAGCGGUGAAAUGCGUAGAGAUCUGGAGGAAUACCGGUGGCGAAGGCGGCCCCCUGGACAAAGACUGACGCUCAGGUGCGAAAGCGUGGGGAGCAAACAGGAUUAGAAACCCCAGUAGUCC